rnacentral:rRNA from 1 species
CAGGCCUAACACAUGCAAGUCGAGGGGUAACAGGGGAAAGCUUGCUUUUCUGCUGACGACCGGCGCACGGGUGCGUAACGCGUAUGCAACCUACCUUCUACAGGGGGAUAGCCCAGAGAAAUUUGGAAUAAUACCCCAUACGAUCAAUGAUUGGCAUCGAUUAUUGAAGAAAACUCCGGUGGUAGAAGAUGGGCAUGCGUCCUAUUAGUUGGUUGGUGAGGUGACGGCUCACCAAGACGUCGAUAGGUAGGGGCCCUGAGAGGGGGAUCCCCCACACUGGUACUGAGACACGGACCAGACUCCUACGGGAGGCAGCAGUGAGGAAUAUUAGACAAUGGGGGCAACCCUGAUCCAGCCAUGCCGCGUGCAGGAAGACUGCCCUAUGGGUUGUAAACUGCUUUUAUACAGGAAGAAACCUACUUACGUGUAAGUAGCUGACGGUACUGUAAGAAUAAGGAUCGGCUAACUCCGUGCCAGCAGCCGCGGUAACACGGAGGAUCCAAGCGUUAUCCGGAAUCAUUGGGUUUAAAGGGUCCGUAGGUGGUUAAUUAAGUCAGAGGUGAAAGCCAGCAGCUCAACUGUUGAACUGCCUUUGAUACUGAUUAACUUGAGUUAUUGUGAAGUAGUUAGAAUAUGUAGUGUAGCGGUG